rnacentral:lncRNA from 11 species
UUCAGUAUCUGUUUAGAUCUCAGAGGAGGUGGAUGCGUAUAAGUUGCUGUUUGGACUUCAGAGAUAUCUUAGUUUAGAGACUUCAGUAUUUGGUUAUGGACUUCACCAUCACUGAAGAUAGAGCAAGUAUCAAGUACUGAGACCAUUGAGAAUCUUCCCAGACCAAGGCCCUGCAGAGAUUCAGCUGGGGAGCUCCCUUUCCUUGUUUCUGCUCCUGGCACACUCUGCCUGUCUGCCACAAUGGGAAAACACCAGCAAAUGGUGGAAAAGAUUAACAUACGAUUGCCACUCACUUUUCUGCCUCAUGUCUUGAAGUAAUAGUGGGACUUGGAUAUAGAAACAAAUAAAUAAAAGGC